CGGCCCAAGCGCCCGGAGGGAACGCAAGGCUCUGGUCGCUGCUCUAGCGACUGCCCGAGCCAGCGGGGCCUUUUCUCUUCUCUCUCUGCUUUCAUCUCCCGCCUGCCUGCGCUACAGCUGCGGAGCCGAAGCCGCGCUCUCUUGCUCUGCCCUCAUCUCGCGCUCUAAAGCCCGGUUUGAACCCUAGGGAGUAGCACCUGGCAGGUUUUUCUUUUCUCUGGCUUUAAAGCCCGGCUGCUCCGCGCAAGUCGAAGGCCCGGGAGGGCGGGACGGAGCCAGCUUUGUUCCUGGCCCUUGUCUUCGGGCUCCAAACCCCGCGCCAGUCCCACGCUGCCGCGGGGAGCCGGCUUGAGUUCCCGCCCGGGUCUCCCCAACGCGGCCACAGGAGGGCGCCUUCACGUGCUGGAUCAAGGCCCCGACGGGACCACCGCAGGGCAGCACUGAGCAGCAGGUUGGUCUCACCUCCUCGACACCGAUGGCAGGGCAGGAGCUGAAUGCAGCACAGAGGCAACGUGUACAGGGUGCACACGGGUGCUCGUGCAUCCCCUGAGCGUGGCAGUGCACCAUGACCGCCCCUGGACGCCACGGCUCCUGCAGAGAAAACCAGGAACCCCAGGAACAAGUAAAGUAAUUGCUACUUUCCAAGAAUUCUGGCUCUAAGCUUGCAAAACGGUCCCGACCAUAAAG